rnacentral:rRNA from 1 species
UACGUAGGGUGCGAGCGUUUAAUCGGAAUUACUGGGCGUAAAGCGUGCGCAGGCGGUUUUGUAAGCCAGAUGUGAAAUCCCCGGGCUUAACCUGGGAAUGGCAUUUGGGACUGCAAGGCUUGAGUGCGGCAGAGGAGACUGGAAUUCCUGGUGUAGCAGUGAAAUGCGUAGAUAUCAGGAGGAACACCGAGUGGCGAAGGCAGGUCUCUGGGCUGACACUGACGCUCAUGCACGAAAGCGUGGGGAGCAAACAGG